rnacentral:rRNA from 1 species
UGAGCAAUCUGCCCUUCUCUUCGGAAUAAGCGUUGGAAACGACGUCUAAUGCCGAAUACGACCUCCUUUCGCAUGAUCGGAGGUGGAAAGCUCCGGCGGAGAAGGAUGAGCUCGCGGCCUAUCAGCUAGUUGGUGUGGGUAAUGGCCCACCAAGGCGACAACGGGUAGCCGGCCUGAGAGGGUGACCGGCCACACUGGGACUGAGACACGGCCCAGACUCCUACGGGAGGNAGCG